GACAGAGGGUGCAAACGUUGUUCGGAAUUACUGGGCGUAAAGCGCGUGUAGGCGGCUCUGCAAGUCGGAUGUGAAAUCCCACGGCUCAACCAUGGAAGUGCAUUCGAAACUGCAGGGCUAGAGUCCUGGAGAGGAAGGUGGAAUGCUUGGUGUAGAGGUGAAAUUUGUAGAUAUCAAGCGGAACACCGGUGGCGAAGGCGGCCUUCUGGACAGUGACUGACGCUGAGACGCGAAAGCGUGGGGAGCAAACAGG
rnacentral:rRNA from 1 species